rnacentral:lncRNA from 12 species
CCAUAGAUCUUCAGCUUGGAAUUUUAGGUUGUCCAGUACUUUUUUUUUUUUUUUAAAGCAAGAUUUAUUAUAUGAAUUUCCUAAAUAAAGGCAAUUUCUGUCAAUUCUCUGAACACACAGGACCAGACUAGGAGAAGUGAAAGCAUUUGCAAAUUUACUUCUGGAGGAGAGUAGGAGAGCUCAAUUCAGUCUGUCCUGCUCCCAUACUGCCUUUUGAUGCCUGGAGAAAAUUCGAAUACAACCCAAGUUAUGCUCAUGACUUCGGGCCAUGUAGGUCAGGAGUCAGCCUCCAGGCUGCUGUGACUCAAGUUCUG